rnacentral:rRNA from 1 species
CUUACAUGCAGUCGACGAUGAACUGUGGCUUGCGGUGGGGAUUAGUGGCGAACGGGUGAGUAACACGUGAGUAACCUGCCCUUAACUCUGGGAUAAGCCUGGGAAACUGGGUCUAAUACUGGAUAUUGACUUUACCUCGCGUGGGGUUUAGUUGAAAGCUUUUGUGGUUUUGGAUGGACUCGCGGCCUAUCAUCUUGUUGGUGAGGUAAUGGCUCACCAAGGAGACCACGGGUAGCCGGCCUGAGAGGGUGACCGGCCACUCUGGGACUGACACACGGCCCACACUCCUACGGGAGGCAGCAGUGGGGAAUAUUGCACAAUGGGCGAAAGCCUGAUGCAGCCACGCCGCGUGAGGGAUGACGGCCUUCGGGUUGUAAACCUCUUUCAGUAGGGAACAAGGCUACACGUUGUGUGGUUGAGGGUACCUGCAGAAGAAGCGCCGGCUAACUACGUGCCAGCACCCGCGGUAAUACAUAGGGCGCACGCGUUAUCCAGAAUUAUUGCGCGUAAAGAUCUCGUACGCGGUUUGUCG